AACGUAGGAGACAAACGUUAUCCGGAGUUACUGGGCGUAAAGGGCGUGUAGGUGGUAUCGUAAGUCUGGCGUGAAAUUUCUCGGCUUAACCGAGGCAGGUCGUCGGAUACUGCGAGGCUAGAGGACGGUAGAGGCGUGUGGAAUUCCGGGUGUAGUGGUGAAAUGCGUAGAUAUCUGGAGGAACACCGGUGGCGAAGGCGGCAUCCUGGACCGGUAUUGACGCUGAGGCGCGAAAGCCAGGGGAGCAAACGGG
rnacentral:rRNA from 1 species